UACGUAGGGUGCAAGCGUUAAUCGGAAUUACUGGGCGUAAAGUGUGCGCAGGCGGCAGAGCAAGUCGAGUGUGAAAGCCCCGAGCUUAACUUGGGAAUUGCGCUCGAAACUACUUUGCUGGAGUGUGGCAGAGGAAGGUGGAAUUCCAGGUGUGGCGGUGAAAUGCGUAGAGAUCUGGAGGAACACCGAUGGCGAAGGCAGCCUUCUGGGCCAACACUGACGCUCAUGCACGAAAGCGUGGGGAGCAAACAGG
rnacentral:rRNA from 1 species